GAGAGGACAUGGAGGACAGUGAAACUCAACAACUCAGCUUAAUAGACUUGCUAACAUCCUCUUUGUCACAAAUGGAAAACUUAAUGAAAUAAUUUCAUCCACCUAAAGGCUUCCUGACAUUUCCCAGACUGCUUUUUCAUAUACAAAGAAGACAGUGACAGAAAUGCCUGCUUGCUAGAUCUGACUGAGAUUCAUUGUGCAGCCUCCAGAUCAAGAGCACAGAAAUUGCUGCCGGGAACAAUGAGGAAUCUGUAAUGAUCAGGACAUCCAAGGAACAA